rnacentral:other from 1 species
AUUAAUCUGAAAUGUGCGAUAACUCUUGUCAUUUUGAACCUACAUCACUUUAAAAGGGAUUCCUAUAUUGCCUGAUUGAUGUCAAGCCCCCCAUUGUUGGUCAGGGGAAGGCAGAGAGAAGGUUGCGGUUGCCCACCUAGCUUUGCUAGGAGUCAAAAUACAGGAGCCGGCAUUUUGGAGAACAC